AAGCUGCUGUGUCCAUAAGGGACAUAAAUGUUAUGCAAAACUCCAAAUAAGUGUUUUCCAUCAUUUGGUUAAAUACAUUAGGAACAGCCUUUAGGUUCCUGCAGGUCUAAAUCUGACAGCUCUUUAUUGAAGCCAUAAUGCUACAGUAUUUUUGAAAGCAGCUGUAUUAUGUCUCCAGGUGACAUAGGACCAAGAGGGCUCAAAGGCAGCAAAGGAGAAGGUUACCGUGGACCUCCAGGACAGCCUGGACUGCCAGGGAUUCAGGGACCUCGUGGCUUUGAUGGAAUUGGCCAUCCAGGCAACCAGGGAAUUCCUGGAAAACCAGGACCACCAGGAGAUUCUGGUAAACGGGGUAACCCAGGGCUUCCAGGAGUUUGUGACAUUUCCAUGUGUUAUCAGACCUACAACCUCAGGGAACAUUACAGCAAAGGACCCAACGUCUGAUGACAUCCGAUAGCAGUGUGGGAGAGGCUGCUGUAGAAAAAACACCAGUGUUUUGAGGAAGCAAUUUACUGUAUCAUUGAUUUAAAGAGAGGUGUGACUGUUGACUCCUUUAUAACAAAGUAUGUUAGAGAUGACCACAUUCAUUGACUUGACAACUGAAAUGGGCAGGGCAUUGAUUCAUGAUUAUGGAAUUCAAGACGCUCAAAUGCAAACUGAGAUACCAGGCUAUCAUUACAUUUUUAAAUUUGAGUAACAGUUUUAAAUAGUCUUUACAGUGAUGACUGUAUCUAAGGAAGGGUUAGAGUCCCUAGUGUUAAAAAAAAAAAAGGAUAGAGUGGGAGAUGGGAAAUCAAAGGAGUAAAAUAAGCAAAGGUGAGAAACCUGCUUGUUUUUAUUUUCUAUUUAACUAUUUUAAACUUUUUUAGAGCACUUUGCAUUACCUUGUUUUUGAAAUGUGCUAUACAAAUAAACUUGCCUUGCCUUGCCUUAUCCCAAGUAAGUCAGAUGAGCACCAACAUGGUUGUAACUGGUUGUAACCAACACAGCUGGUUUUUGUGUAACGCAUAUGAUCAGGAAUAACAUUUAAAAAGCUACCUAUUCUUUUACCUGAGUUACUCUGCUAACAAGAUAGGCUGCUAACAGGCCAACACCACCAGCAAUCCAAUCAGAUUUCAUCUCCUUCUGAAAACCAAGCAAAACUCAAGAAUAGAAAGUUUAUUAUUUAACAAUUAUUUAUUUAAUCCAGACUGAUAAUAAAAAAAACCUGCACAUUAUUAAGCAAAGUGGGAGAAUCAGCCCCCGUGCUGUGCUUGAAAGCUACAGUUCCUUCAGUUUCACCAAAUGAGUUUAUAUUAACUAGUGAGAUUAUUCUGCGUUCAGUGCAGCUCUGCCUCAGAGAAAUGAUUGUAUCUCCAAAUUAUGUGAAAAGUCCAUUACACACCUUAACACUGAAUUGGGAUAUGUCAUAAUGAAAGAAUUUUCUUCUGUUGGGAAAACAUAUUUCUAUCACCUGUUGUGUACGGAGCACCAGGGGUUGUGCUAAUCCAUCACUGUGACACACAGGGAUGUAAGGAUCCUGUCACUGUAUAUUUGUACCCAUCAUGUCUGUUUUCUUGUUCCUUUGUCAGUGUUACAGCCUCAUGUUGCAUCUCUUUGUGUGGAUUACCGUAAAAUGAUCAAAUUGUGGCCUUUAUUUACCUCAACUGCAGAUUUAUGCAGGCUUAUAUUAUUGACAGACCUUUAUUUAUCUGUGUUCUGUAAGUAUAUCUUCUUGAAGAUGCCUCUGUGUUUUACAAUGUGCUCUUCAUUGUGCCUAUCUCUCUUGAUAAAUUCAUCAUCAUUUAACUCAUCCCAUCAGUACAACAGUCAUGUCACCACUCAAAGUCUCUUUUCUCCAACAAAAAUACUCCUUAUAUUCAGCACUUGUUUCCUGUCACUUAAAUUUUGCUGUGUUGUGAUUAAUCUGUAAACGUCCUGCUCUUUCUUGCAUUAAAAGCCUCCCAGUGGCUCCAAGGGCAUAAUCCAUCCCAUUUCUGGUAGGCUUUUAAUUUGAAACAUCUGCAGGAAAUAUUGAAUUUUAUUGACAGUAACCUGACCACGCUCGGAAAACCAGCAGAGUGAUUGGAAAUAACCAGUGAAUGAAAACAAUAAUUCUGAUAAAAAUCAAUAAUUGAUUUUCUUGAUGACAGAAGGACUAGUUGUACAGUUUAUAUUUUGCUCAUUUAGUCCAGCUGUGUUUAGUGUACUUGGUUGGUCCACUAGUGUACUAGUGGACUAGUGGACCGACAGUCUCUGUCUGACCAGGUUUACUUUGUGAAGUUGUUCAGUAGGCUCAGUGUGACUGGAUGGAUUUAUUUUACAAUUAUCUGCCAGUGCUUUUAAAGUUUGGUAUGGGGAAAUGACAACUCCUUUAGAGCGCAUGUAAGCAUUUAUAUGCUAAGUUGGUUGAAUAAUUAAAACUACAGUCUCCAUCAGGGCCAGCCUGUGGCAAAUACAACACAGGAGGUUGCCUUGGGCGCAAAAUGUCAGAAGGCGCCGAAAGAGAAAGUUUUUGACUUGGCGCAAAUCACCUCCGGCCAGCUGAUGUGACAUCAGCUUAUCCCAUGACAAUAAACAAGUGCACCCACCUUACACUGUGAGCAGCUGUCAGUCGCAGCCAGAUUGUGACAGAGUAGUAGCUAAUGCUGGUAGUUUUGCAAUAUAAACAUGUAAUAAUUGAGGCGCAAACUCUGUUUGGGAGAAAACCUGUGAAACACAUUUCCACCAUAUAUUGAUGCAGAAUAGGAAGAAAUUGGUGCAGAAAUUUUCAGCAGAAUGCAGGAAAUAACAUGUUUAAUGCUCAAAAAUUUCAGAGGGAGGUCCCCCAGACCCCCAC